rnacentral:lncRNA from 1 species
AUGCCGUUUCGUCCGUGUCCUUCUGGAUGCGGUCGUUUCCUGUCUUCGGUUGACGGUCACGAGCGUUGUCUGCAGUGUCUGGGCGUCCAACACGCUGAGGCUGCGCUCGUGGAUGAUUCAUGCGUCUACUGUGGGCGUAUGAACAUGGCAGCGCUGCGAUCGCGUCUCUCACUCCUCAAGGGGAGUGCAGCAGACCCCUCUGUCGCCACCCGUCCCGGUCUCUCUGGCUCGAGAAGAGGGCCGCCGGCUGGCGCUCUGGGAGAUCUGAGGAUCACAGUGAGAGCUUCUCCGCCGGGCCACGCCCCACGGACCUCUCACUCCUCACGCAGCGACUGUCCCGUGCAGCUGCCGAUUGAUUCUGCUGGGCCGUCUCACAGCGGUCCCAGCGUGUCUUUCGGUGCGCCGCCCGAAGACCAGAUGUCGAUUGCUGCAUCGGGGGAUGGGUUAUCGACCUCUGAGGAUGAAGGUUCGGCGGGGCUGCCCCCCUCGGGUGUUGUCGCUACUGCCGAAUCGGACUUGGAGUUGUCGGCCAUGCUUGCCCGGGCAGCCGUGAGUAUCGGACUGGAGGUGACAACACCGCCCAGUCCCGAGCCCUCACGGCUGGAUGAUUGGUUUCUCGGCGCGGGACGCGGCUCACAACCUCGUUCUGCUCCGGUGCCUUUCUUCCCGGAGGUGCAUGAAGAGGUGACGAAGUCGUGGACGGCCCCUUUCACGGCCAGAAGCCGCUCUUCUCCCUCUUCCAUCCUCACCACCCUCGAUGGCGGGGCAGCCAGGGGGUACGUAGAGGUUCCCCAGGUGGAGAGGGCGGUUGCGGUGCACUUGUGCCCACAAAACGCCGCCACUUGGAGGAAUCGUCCGCGCCUCCCGUCCAAGGCCUGUAAGCUGACGGCCGCACUCGCUGCCAAGGCUUACAGUGCUGCGGGCCAAGCUGCCUCUGCCCUGCAUGCCAUGGCUAUCCUGCAGGUACACCAAGCCAAGGCACUCAAAACCAUGCACGAGGGUGGUACCGACCCGGGGUUGAUGCAGGAGCUGCGCACGGCGACCGACUUCGCCUUACGGGCAACGAAGGUCACGGCGCGGUCCCUCGGGAAGGCGAUGUCCACGCUGGUGGUCCAGGAGCGGCAUCUCUGGCUGAACCUGGCUGAGAUGAGGGACAUGGACAAAGCGCGCUUUCUCGACGCCCCCAUCUCCCAGGCAGGCCUGUUCGGCGACACUGUCGAGGACUUUGCCCAGCAGUUCUCGGCGGUACAGAAGCAGACUGAGGCCAUCCAGCACAUCCUGCCCCGACGUGUCUCUCCGGCUGCCACCGUUCCGUCGCGGGUAGCGCCUCAGCCUGCUCGUCGCCGUGGGCGCCCCCCUGCGUCCUCUACGCCAGCUCCGCCCCGUGCUGAGAGUUCUUCGAGGCCGGCGCGUCGAGCCCCGCGCAGGAGAGCGGCGCCCCCGUGUCACUCCCGGCUGCGAAGUCCUCCAAGAAGUCGACCAAGCGGCCCUGACACGGGCAACUCGGAGAUGCGGAGAACUGCUCUUCAGGAGAUGGCGAAGACAGCGCCACUCCUUCCCCCGGAGGAGGGCCGGGCGGAGAAUCUUCAGUUUCUGUUUUGUUUUGUUCCGCCACUGGCCGGACGGGGAAGUUGCAAGGCUCGUGGCUUGACAAUGAGCGACGCACAGCUUCCUCACUCUCACCCACGACGCCCCCUUUCGCCAGCGGCCAAGAGGUCGCGGUUCGGAGACGCAACGCCUCUCCACGCGUCUCUGGCCAGUUCCUCCGGGAACACGAGGAGUGUGGUUGCGAUGACCCAGGACGCAGUGCCUUCUGGGCCUUCCGGCACGACUCCCCAUCGCUGCACCACUGCGGGUAUGUCGACUGUCCCUUUGGUGCCACUUUUACGGUAUCUGGGAGCGUGGCUUGCGCUGCCCAACCCGUCACGCUGGCUCAUCCGGACGGUUCGACUUGGCUAUGCGAUUCAAUUCGCCCGGCGACCCCCCAAGUUCAAUGGCGUGCUCGAGACUUCGGUGGCAGUCCAGGACGCCCCUGUCUUGCGCGAGGAGAUUGCUGUCCUCCUGGCGAAGGAUGCAAUCGAGCCGGUCCCUCCAGCCGAGAUGAGGACGGGGUUUUACAGCCCUUACUUCAUCGUGCCCAAGAAGAGCGGUGGCCUUCGACCUAUCCUGGAUCUGCGAGUCUUGAAUCGGGCCCUACACAAGCUCCCGUUCAGGAUGUUGACGCAGAAACGCAUUAUCAAAUGCGUUCAGCCCCAGGACUGGUUUGCAGCGAUCGACCUGAAAGACGCGUACUUUCAUGUCUCUAUCCUCCCUCGUCACAGAUCGUUCCUGCGCUUUGCUUUCGAGGGUCAGGCAUGGCAGUACAAGGUCCUCCCCUUCGGGCUCUCCCUGUCCCCCCGUGUCUUCACGAAGGUCGCGGAGGGCGCCCUUGCCCCACUUUGGGAAGUGGGCAUCAGGAUCCUCAACUAUCUCGACGACUGGCUCAUUAUGGCCCGGUCCCGAGAAGAGUUGUGCGAUCACAGGGACUUCGUGCUUCGGCACCUCAGUCAGUUGGGGCUUCAGGUCAACCGAGAGAAGAGCAAGCUCUCCCCUGUGCAGAGAAUCUCUUAUCUCGGUAUGGAGUUAGACUCGGUGAGUAUGACGGCACGUCUCACCAGCGAGCGUGCCCACUCAGUGCUGAACUGCCUGAGUUCCUUCAGAGGCAGGACAGUGGUACCGCUGAAACACUUUCAAAGGGUCCUGGGGCAUAUGGCAUCCGCAGCCGCAGUCACGCCGCUCGGGUUGAUUCAUAUGAGACCACUUCAGCACUGGUUACACUCCCGAGUCCCGAGAUGGGCAUGGCGCCGCGGUACACAUCGUGUCACCAUCACACUGAUGUGUCGCCGCCUAUUCAGUCCUUGGUCGGACCUUGCCUUUCUACGGGCCGGUGUGCCCUUAGAACAAGUGUCCCGGCACGUUGUUGUCACAACAGAUGCCUCCAACUCGGGCUGGGGCGCGACAUGCAACGGGCAGGCAGCCUCAGGGUCCUGGACAGGACCUCGACUGCUUUGGCACAUCAACUGCCUGGAGUUGCUGGCAGUGCAUCUAGCUUUGCGACGGUUUCGUCCGCUAGUGCUGGACAAGCACGUGUUGGUCCGCACGGACAACACUGCGGCUGUUUCGUACAUCAACCGACAAGGCGGGUUACGAUCACGCCGCAUGUCUCAACUCGCCCGUCAUCUCCUCCUCUGGAGUCAGACGUGGCUCAAGUCGCUGCGCGCUGUCCACAUCCCGGGGGAGCUCAAUCGUGCAGCCGACGCGCUCUCACGACAGCUCACUUUCCCCGGGGAAUGGCGACUCCAUCCCCAGACGGUCCAGCUGAUUUGGAGUCGAUUCGGGGAAGCCCAGGUAGACCUGUUUGCUUCCCACGAGUCCUCCCACUGCCAGUUGUACUAUUCCCUGUCCCAGGCCCCCCUGGGCACAGAUGCACUGGCACACAGCUGGCCUCGGGCUUUACGCAAGUAUGCGUUUCCCCCAGUGAGCCUGCUCGCACAGACACUGUGCAAGGUCAGGGAGGACGAGGAACAGGUCCUGUUGGUUGCGCCUUACUGGCCCACCCGGACCUGGUUUUUGGAACUCAUGCUCCUCGUGACAGCCCCUCCCUGGCGCAUCCCCCUGAGGAGAGACCUUCUCUCUCAGGGGCUUGGCACCAUUUGGCACCCGCGUCCAGAUCUCUGGAACCUCCACGUGUGGCUUCUAGACGGGACGCGGCAGACCUAA